UGGUGAGGUAACGGCUCACCAAGGCGACGAUGGGUAGCUGGUCUGAGAGGACGAUCAGCCACACUGGAACUGAGACACGGUCCAGACUCCUACGGGAGGCAGCAGUGGGGAAUCUUGCGCAAUGGGCGAAAGCCUGACGCAGCAACGCCGCGUGCGGGAUGAAGGCCCUCGGGUCGUAAACCGCUUUCAGCAGGGAUGAAACUGACAGUACCUGCAGAAGAAGCCCCGGCUAAAUACGUGCCAGCAGCCGCGGUAAUACGUAUGGGGCAAGCGUUAUCCGGAUUUAUUGGGCGUAAAGCGCGCGUAGGCGGCUUGUUAAGUCAGAUGUGAAAUCCGGGGGCUCAACCCGCGGCUUGCAUCUGAAACUGGCAGGCUUGAGUCUGGUAGAGGAAAGUGGAAUUCCUGGUGUAGCGGUGAAAUGCGCAGAUAUCAGGAGGAACACCAGUGGCGAAGGCGGCUUUCUGGGCCACGACUGACGCUGAGGCGCGAAAGCUAGGGGAGCGAACAGGAUUAGAU
rnacentral:rRNA from 1 species